rnacentral:rRNA from 1 species
CCUACGGGAGGCAGCAGUGAGGAAUAUUGGUCAAUGGGCGCGAGCCUGAACCAGCCAAGUAGCGUGAGGGAUGACUGCCCUACGGGUUGUAAACUUCUUUUAUAAAGGAAUAAAGUGAGGCACGUGUGCCUUUUUGUAUGGACUUUAUGAAUAAGGAUCGGCUAAGUUCGUGCCAGCAGCCGCGGUAAUACGGAGGAUGCGAGCGUUAUCCGGAUGUAUUGGGUUUAAAGGGAGCGUAGAUGGGUUGUUAAGUCAGUUGUGAAAGUUUGCGGCUCAACCGUAAAAUUGCAAUUGAUACUGGCAGUCUUGAGUACAGGUGAGGUAGGCGGAAUUCGUGGUGUAGCGGUGAAAUGCUUAGAUAUCACGAAGAACUCCGAUUGCGAAGGCAGCUUUCUAGACUGCCACUGACACUGAUGCUCGAAAGCGUGGGUAUCAAACAGGAUUAGAUACCCGAGUAGUC